UACUUCCUGAUAAACCUGCAGUUCAAAAUGCGUUUAAUACACUUAACCUACCGAACAUCAUAGCUUAGCCUAGCCUCCCUUAAA